rnacentral:rRNA from 1 species
AAAUGACGGUACCUGACUAAGAAGCUCCGGCUAAAUACGUGCCAGCAGCCGCGGUAAUACGUAUGGAGCAAGCGUUAUCCGGAUUUACUGGGUGUAAAGGGUGCGUAGGUGGCAGUGCAAGUCAGAUGUGAAAGGCCGGGGCUCAACCCCGGAGCUGCAUUUGAAACUGCGCGGCUAGAGUACAGGAGAGGCAGGCGGAAUUCCUAGUGUAGCGGUGAAAUGCGUAGAUAUUAGGAGGAACACCAGUGGCGAAGGCGGCCUGCUGGACUGUUACUGACACUGAGGCACGAAAGCGUGGGGAGCAAACAGGAUUAGAUA